UACGGAGGGGGCUAGCGUUGUUCGGAAUUACUGGGCGUAAAGCGCACGUAGGCGGCUUUGUAAGUUAGAGGUGAAAGCCCAGGGCUCAACCCUGGAAUUGCCUUUAAGACUGCAUCGCUAGAAUUGUGGAGAGGUAAGUGGAAUUCCGAGUGUAGAGGUGAAAUUCGUAGAUAUUCGGAAGAACACCAGUGGCGAAGGCGACUUACUGGACACAUAUUGACGCUGAGGUGCGAAAGCGUGGGGAGCAAACA
rnacentral:rRNA from 1 species